ensembl:lncRNA
UUUGUUGUUUGUCUUUAUCUCAGCUUCUAGUGAUUCCUGAUUCUGAAUCAGAAGUUCCACAUUUUGAUAAAGGCUGACAUCACUCUUUCUGUUUGCCUUUGUGAUUUGUGUUUGCUUGAGGCCGUGCCCACUCCAACUCCAAGGUCAUAACCAUGUUGUCCUAUCUUUUCUCCUUCUACUUUGGUCUUUCUUCAGUGGAUAGCCAGUUCACCCAGCAUGUCUCCCAGCGAUGAGAAAAGCCCUCUUGGCCCCAGAUCCCACAUGUCUCUCUUCAGGGUUGUUUUUGCUAUGGGGAGUCAGGAGCUUCUUCCCAAAUUCCUGGAAGAGUGUACUCUUUGCUGCUUGCUUUGGGGCCUGCCCUUCCCUGCCAAGGUAGAGAGUGGAGAGCAACCUGAAUCAUUUCAGAGGUUGACCUUUGAACCAAGUUUUACUUUAUCUCCAGUCACUAUUUGCUAAUUCAUUUGAGAGUUUUUGCCAAAGAUUAACAUCUGAAGUACCCCUUUCUGGUUUACACAGUCUGCUCCUUGGAAAACGAGGAGGGCAUUUGCCCACUCUGUUUAUCCAGCAUUUCUGAGAGUGACUGUUUUCCACAUGAGUUUUCAUUUCCCCAAGGGAAAUAUCCACCAGCAGAAAAAGUGACAACUCUUCUUGCAGUGGAGACAGGCCACAGAAAACAAACUCAGCCUCAACAGUGACUUGAAAACAUGGUCCCAAGACUCAGUUCACAAGCCAUGUUAUUUCUCCUCUUGUAAGUUUCAUAUAUGUGGGACUCACAGUUAAUUUGGAAGGGAACACGGAUCCUGCUUCCCAGGUGGCACUAGUGGUAAAGAAUCCACCUACUGGACACGGGGGUGGGGUGGGGGGUGGGCGGAGGGAGGGAAGGAGGAGGUGGGGGAGAUGUAUGGAGAGAGUAACAUGGAAACUUACAAUUCCAUAUGUAAAAUAGAUAACCAAAUGGGCAUUUGCUGUAUGACUCAGGGAAGUCAAACAGUGGCUCUGUAACAACCUAGAG